AGAAUUAGUAACUUAAAUAGGUAAAGGACUUCCUUGUCACGGAAGUAGAUGUCGGUUCGAUUCUGAUCUAAUUCG
rnacentral:tRNA from 1 species